AAAAUACUCCCUCCGUCCGGAAAUACUUGUCAUCAAAAUGGAUAAAAGGAAAUGUAUCUAGACGUAUUUUAGUUUUAGAUACAUCUCUUUUUAUCCUUUUGAUGACAAGUAUUUUCGGACGGAGGGAGUAUUUA
rfam:Triticum aestivum genome assembly, contig: Triticum_aestivum_CS42_TGACv1_scaffold_030773_1BL